rnacentral:sRNA from 1 species
AAGGAUAAGAAUAAGAAUAAGAAUA